AGUAAAGAACUCCAAUUUCAAGGCGUCCGCGCGAGCCCGCACCUGCCUCAAUUGUCACAAGAACACCGACCGUGAUUACUGCUGCGACGAAUGCGGUAUUCAAUUUUUUUUGAAAAAGAUUCGAAAAAAAAAUCAAGUCGAGGCGCUGGAGCACUACAAGCAGCGGUUUGAAGAGCGAAAGCGCGAUAUCCUCAAAGCUAUCUUGAAAGAUGCCGAGGAAAACAAAAUAUCAGACUUCGCAGAAAGUGAUGACCUCCGCUAUCUGGAGGAAGUCAUAACGGAGAACAAAUCAUUAGAUGAAAAAUUUGAAAAAUUAGAGCAAAGGAAAUUAGAAUUUCAACGCUUGAUGAACAAAUGCAUGUCGUUGAAUGAAGUGCAGGAUAAUCCCACGAACGUUCAGGGAAAACAUCGGACCAGAGCAAAUAACGAAGUCAUCGACUGUGUUUGCUGCGGCCAUACUCUCCCCUUGAACGGAUUUGCUACACAUGUACUUUUGUGUUAUUUCAAACAGGAAUCUCAACUCACUCUGGUGUCUACACAUCCUACACCAGAUGACUGUAACAUGCUCAUCUACUGCGACUUUUACAAUCCCAAAUCUCAAACCUACUGUAAAAAACUAAAGGCAAGCUGUUUUAAGCAUUCCGACAUUGCUCGAUUCAAACAACGACCUUCGAGGUCAAGAGAAGUAUGCGGUCACCCCACAGAACCGGGUGGUAUAUGCAUGCUGUCUAAGAAAACGUGUCAAAAACACGUAAAUUGGGAAAACAUUCGCCAAUCGGAGUUAAAACUAGAGGAAAUUUCUUUGAACCGAAUGCGAUCUGUGCUGGAACUGGAGAGAACGAACAUUCAGGACAGGAUGGUUUUUAGAAGGCUGUACAAGAUGCAAG